rnacentral:piRNA from 1 species
UGGCUGAAAUGUAAGCACGGAAAAUGC